AGCUUUGCGUGGUGGCAGUAUUGUAGCCAAUGAGGUUUAUCCAAGGCACAAUUAUUGCUAAUUAAAAACUUUCUUCCAUUGCUCUCUUUCAUGGUUUGCUGACUUUCUUUAGUGAUAUAUUUGGAUUCCUUUCUC
rfam:Canis lupus familiaris chromosome 4, whole genome shotgun sequence.